GCAGAGGCGGCAGCCAGCUCGUCAGUGACUUCCGGGACGUCCCCCAUCCCGCGCUCCCUGCUCCUCAGGCCCAGCUUGCUCCUUGCUCCUUUCUCCUCGCUCCUCCGACGCACAUCAGACCACUGGAAGGGGGUGGGAAACCUGGAUCCUGGGUUGUUUUAGCUGGGAGCUGAGUCUAAGGGACUUUUUUUUUUUUUUUAAUGGCAGAGCGUGGCUUGUUUUGUUAAAACUGCCGCCAGUUGUUGCAACAGCUCCGAGUUAGAAUAAUAGAUGCAGUGUUCAGUUUUUAAUAUAUGUGUUCCCUGUUUUCUCUGCUCUUUUUAUGGCGGGGGGUGGGGGACAAAAAAGUGUAAAACAAGAUCCGUGCCGCAAAGGCAAUUUAAACCUAACAUCCCAACCUUCAUGCAGCCAUUCUACAAGGAGUUGUUGAGCACCUGCUGUCUAUCUACAGAAAUCUUGAAAUGUGGAACAGAGAUGGAAAUAUAGCAUGCAAGUCAGAAUGAAUUGCCAAACAAUGACAGAAGGCUGCUCUGAAAUGAUCAAAAUUUUCUCCUGGGACCUCACACCAAAGGAAUAUAAUAGGCAUUCAUUUCUAAGACAAUGCGGGUAAAGUGGAAUUCUAGUUUAUAUUACCUUUCUUAUUCUCUGCAUGCUGCUCUAGACAACUUUGUCAUGAUCCUUGCUUCUGGGGACUUGGUUUGUUUGGGGAAUGACAUCUUAUGAGGCAGUGGGAGCAAUACUUGUCCAGGACCAUUUUACCCAUGCAACCCAGAUGCAUAACCCAGGGGCAGAACUGGGGAUUCUAAUCAAGUCUCAAAGUGGAUAGGUUUGGAGAGGGCCAUCAUUGUAGCACAUAGAGGCUCCAAGAAGCUACAGUUCCUCCACAAGGCAAGCCCAGGUUCUGGCUUCUUUUUACAGGGUUUCAAAAGUGUGUAUUAUUUUAUUGUAUUUCUGGUUGUUUACUCUACAUUAAGAUAUUUAAAAAUAAAAAUAGAUUCUCAACCUAAAUUUUAAUUUUUUAUCUCUCUUCCUCUUUUUCUCAUUCUUUAUUUCAUGUUUCUUAAUCAGUAAAGAAUGGAAGAAUAGGCCGGGCGCGGUAGCUUACACCUGUAAUCCCAGCACUUUGGGAGGCCGAAGCGGGCGGAUCACGAGGUCAGGAGAUCGAGACCAUCCUGGCUAACACAGUGAAACCCUGUCUCUACUAAAAAUACAAAAAAUUAGCCGGGCAUGGUGGCGGGCGCCUGUAGUCCCAGCUACUCGGGAGGCUGAGGCAGGAGAAUGGCGUGAACUCGUGAGGCGGAGCUUGCAGUGAGCCGAGAUUGCUCCACUGCACUCCAGCCUGGGUGACAGAGCAAGACUCCCUCUCAAAAAAAAAAAAAAAAAAAAAGACCGGGUGCAGUGGCUCAUGCCUGUAAUCCCAGCACUUUGGGAGGCUGAGGCGGGCAGAUCACGAGGUCAGGAGAUCGAGACUAUCCUGGCUAACACCGUGAAACCCCGUCUCUACUUAAAAUACAAAAAAUUAGCCGGGUGUGGUGGUGGCGGGUGCCUGUAGUCCCAGCUACUCGGGAGGCCGAGGCAGGAGAAUGGCAUGAACCCAGGAGGUGGAGCUUGCAGUGAGCCGAGAUGCACCACUGCACUCCAGCCUGGGUGACAGAGUGAAACUCCGUCUCAUUAAAAAAAAAAAAAAAUGGAAGAAUGAAGAAAAUCAAAUUAAUCUAUAGGGAAAAGGGGAAAUAUAAAAAGAAUAGUUACAUUUUACUAUUCCUACUUUCAAAUGAAUCCAAGCUCAGCCAACUGCUAAGGAAAUUAGAAUGUAGGAAAAGAACCUGGGGGCUGGUGCCUUUGUUUCUGUCUGUGCAGAAACAUCUGGGUUUCAAUGAAAUGGUACCGUAAGAAUCAUUUGGCACCCAUCAUUGCUAUUAAAUGUCUGUUAGCAUUAAUGAAACAAAAGAGGCUCAUUAAAAAUGGCAUUUAUACUGGAAACCUUAGGAGGAUGGUAUGUAAUGAAUCAUUGGUGAGCUUUAUCAGUGACUGUGUAUUUUUGGCAGGAUAACAGAAAGAGGGAAUGAACAAGAAUGUACUUUUGUGAUCUUCCAGUGGGGUAGGAGAGAAAGAAGAUUGUGGCAGUUCUGGGGAAAUACUUCAAACAUCAAAGACCAGAGCCUUAAGAUCUGGUUACUGUUCUCACAGGAGCAUUUUCUUUGUCCUGUUGACUGUUUGGGAAAAUGUUUACAGCCAACUUUGCUGCUAAAUGUCUGAAUUCCGCUGAAGACACUUUCUUUCUGUGAACAGAAGUGUUUUGGACACAUUUUUCUCUUUAUCUUGUAUGCUUUUUUCAGUUACUUAUUUCAGUCAACUCUCCUAAGUUUAUUACUCAUAUUUUCUUAACACUUAUAAACUUUUUAAAAGAUAUUUGUUAUAGCAAAUUUAAGGCAAAAGUGCCAGAAAUCUAAUUUAUUAUAGAAGGUAUUUAAUUUCUGCCAGUGGAUGAUAAUGUUAAAUAUUUCUCUUAAAAGAUUAACAUUUGUAUAUAUCAGCAACAUGACUAACUUUUAGCAUUUUCCAUUUGCAUCUUCAUCUACUGCAACCAUCUUACUCUCUUUCUCUCUCUCCAUCUCUUGCCCCAGUCUCUCUCACACUCUUGGUUUUUCUAGGAACUUUAGGAAAUUAACCAAUUCAUUUUCUUAUGGGUCAUGACAAGAAGAAGGCUUCAGUCUAGUAUUUUAUCUCUGAUGGAGAUUUCAAAGGAUUUUAGUAAAAGCAUGUGAAAACUGCCUUCCAUAACAUUAUUAUCAUGCCUAGAAAUUAGGAAAUUAAUUAUACAUGGAUGGUUAACAUAGCAGUAAAAUGUGAAUAGUGACCAUGCUAGUAUAUCUGAGAUAAUAUGAUUUAGGUAACCUGCAGGCCUCCCCUGCUAUAUGCCUGUAUCCUUUCCUGUGGGACUUUUGCUGGCAACGCAGUUGAGAAUUAGAUGUACAGAGUUGAAAUGCUCUUUGGAUUCUGAGAAAUUAAGUUUUGUGAGAUAAUGGAAACAGCCCUAGAUAAGACUCUUGUAUACAAUUUCUGCUUGAAAGUGCUAUAUAACCUCCAGCAAGGCUCCUAAUCUCUCUAGACCUCAGUUUCCUUGCCCAUAACAGAAAAUGAUGGGAUCCUAUUCUAAAUCUGAAGUUUGAUAAUACUUCCAAAUUUUCUUUAUUCACAUCUCCCUUUCACCUCACGUCAAAUUCUAAGUCUUCAGUUCCCAGAUUUCUACCUAAUGAGGAGGGAAAAGAACCAAACGCUGAUAACUACAGAAUUGGUCUCUGGGAAAUAAUUGUCUUUGCUGAACACCAGUGCACCUUAAAGGGUGUGUUUGAUUUGGAAAAUAAUCCUCAGGUCCCCCAACUGCAUCCCAGCAAUGUCUUAAUGAAUGGAGGCUAUAUGAAUAGCCCCAGUUUUAUUCUGUGAAAGAAGCGAACAGAACCUUGGACAGGCAGGGUAACCUUUUCAGAGAGGAGAUGGGGCCAGGUCAGAGGAAAUAAAGCUGGUUAGCAACUUGGCAGGAAGCUGGAGCUUCAGAGAUGUAAGAAAUAUAAUUUCCCACUCAUUUCAAUGCAAAGAUGCUUUAAAAAUAGGGAUAUCUAAUAAAUAAUUUCAAGGUGUUUGCUAUAUAUGCUAUACUGUAAUCUUCCCCUUGCCUUCCUCCCAAACUCUUCAUUAAGUUUACUACAAUCACAGCCUUGAUUGGGGGAGACUUUGGGCACUGUGAGUGGAGGACAUGCCUAUUUCCACAUAAACAAGGGCAGCAUCAGCAGGUGGUGAAAUGAAAGCAUGGAUCAAGGAUUCAGAGGAAGCAGAAGACUACUAUAACUAGAGAUUUUGAGAAACUUAAAUCUUCACGCCACUCCCCACUCUCUUGACAAGAAACUAGGUUCCCAUCCCUAUAUAAGUCAGGAUGUUUGAACCAUAGCAAGCUAGAGGAUUUGGAAUCGUCCAGGCAAGUGACAUCUUUCACACUAGGAUAAGCAAAUAAUAAUAUAAUAAUUCAAAUUUUUAUUUUCUAAGAACGAAGAGAAUAGAAUUGAAAUUGGGUGCUCACUUCGGUGGCACAUAUACUAAAAUUGGAACAAUACAGAGAUGAUUAGCAUGGCCCCUGCACAAGGAUGGCACGCAAAUUUGUAAGCAUUCCAUAUUUUUCAAGUCUGCAAAAUAACCAGCUACCAUCAUGAUGACAAGAUCAAAUCCACACAUAAAAACACCAACCAUAAAUGUAAAUGGGCUAAAUGCCCCAAUUAAAAGACACAGAAUGGCAAGCUGGAUAAAGAACCAAGACCCAUCGGUAUGUUGUCUUCAAGAGAUCCAUCUCAGAUGCAAAGAUACACAUAGGCUCAAAAUAAAAGGAUGGAGGAAAAUUUACCAAGCAAAUGGAAAACAGAAAAAAGCAGGGGUUGCAAUCCUAGUUUCUGACAAAAUAGACUUUAAACCAACAAAGAUUAAAAAAAAAGACAAAGACAUUACAUAAUGGUAAAGUGUUCAAUUCAGCAAGAAGAGCUAACUAUCCUGAGUAUAUAUGUACCCAAUACAGGAGCACCCAGAAUCACAAAGCAAGUUCUUAGAGACCUUCAAAGAGACUUAGACUCCCACACAAUAAUAGUGGGAGAUUUUAACACCCCACUGACAAUAGUAGACAGAUGAUUCAGAUAGAAAAUUAACAAAGAUAUUCAGGACCUGAAUUCAGUUCUGGGUCAAGUGGACCUGACAGAUAUCUGCAGAACUCUCCACCUAAAAACAACAGAAUAUGUAUUCUUCUCAUUGCCACAUGGCACUUACUCUAAAGUUGACCACAUCAUCAGAAGUAAAACACUCCUCAGCAAAUGCAAAAGAACUGAAAUCAUAAACAGUCUCUCAAACCACCAUGCAAUCAAAUUGGAACUCAAGAUUAAGAAAUUCACUCAAAACCACACAACUACAUGGAAAUUGAACAACCUGCUCCUGAAUGAUUCUUGGGUAAAUAAUGAAAUUAAGGCAGAAAACAAGAAGUUCUUUGAAACUAAUGAGAAUGAAGAAACAAUGAACCAGAAUCUCUGGGAUACAGUGAAAGCAAUGUUAAGAGGAAAAUUUACAGCACUAAAUGCCCACAUCAAAAAGCUAGAAAGAUGUCAAGUUAACAAGCUAACAUUACAACUGAAGGAACUAGAGAACCAAGAGCAAACAAAUCCCAAAGCUAGCAGAAGACAAGAAAUAAGCAAGAUCAGAACUGAAAUGAAGGAGUUAGAGACACAAAAAACACAUUAAAAAAAAUAAAAUCCAGGAGGUGUUUUUGUGAAAAAAUUAACAAAAUAGAUAGACUGCUAGCAAGACUAAGGAAGAAAAGAGAGAAGAUUGAAACACAAUCGGAAGUGAUGAGGGCUAUCACCAAUGGCCCCACAGAAAUACAAACAACCAUCAGAGAAUACUAUCAACACCUCUAUACACAUAAACUAGAAAAUCUAGAAGAAACUGAUGAACUUCUGAACACAUACCCCCAAUCCCAUAACUGAACCAGGAAGAAUUCAAAUCCCUGAAUAGACCAAUAAUGAGUCCUGAAAUUGAGGCAGUAAUAAAUAGCUUACUAACCAAAAAAAGUCCAGAACCAGAUGGAUUCACUUCAUAGGCACGAAGAAUUGGUACCAUUUGUACUGAAACUAUUCCAAAGAAUUGAAAAGGAGGGACUCUUCCCUAACUCAUUCUAUGACAUCAGCAUUAACCUGAUGCCAAAACCUGGCAGUGAUAGAACAAAAAAAGAAAUCUUCAGGCCAAUAUCCUUGAUAAGAAUCAAUGCAAAAACCCUCAAUAAAAUACUAGCAAACUGAAUCCAGCAGCACAUCAAAAAGCUUAUCCACUAUGAUCAAAUAUGGAACCCAAAAAGAGGCCAAAUAGCCAAGACAAUCCUAAGCAAAAACAAAGCUGGAGGCAUCAUGCUACCUGGCUGAAAAAUAUACUACAAGACUACAGUGACAAAACAGCAUGGUACUGGUACAAGAACAGACACAUAGACCAAUGGAAGAGAAUAGAGAACCCAGAAAUAAGACUGCACGCCUCCAACCAGCUGAUCUUCAACAAACUUGACAAAAACAAGCAAUAGAGAAAGGAUUUUCUAUUUAACAAAUGGUGCUAGGAGAACUAACUGGCUAACCAUAUGGAGAAAAUUGAAACUGAACCCUUUUCUUACACCAUAUACAAAAAUCAACUCAAGAUGGAUUAAAGACAAUUGUAAAACCCAAAAUUAUAAAAACCCUAGAAGAAAAUCUAGGCAAUACCAUUUAGGACAUAAGCACGGGCAAAGAUUUCAUAAAGAAAAUGCCAAAAGCAAUUACAACAAAAGCAAAGAUUGACAAAUGGGAUCUAAUUAAACGAAAGAGCUUCUGCACAGCAAAAGAAACUAUCAUCAGAGUGAACAGACAACCUAUAGAAUGGGAGAAAAUUUUUGCAAACUACCCAUCUGACAGAUGUCUAAUAUCCAGCAUCGACAAGGUACUUAAAUAAAUUUACAAGAAAAAAACAAGCUCAUUAAAAAGUGGGCAAAGGACAUGAACAGACCCUUCUCAAAAGAAGACAUGCGACUGGGUGCAGUGGCUCACGCCUGCAAUCCCAGCACUUUGGGAGGCCAAGGCGGGCAGAUCACGAGGUCAGGAGAUCGAGACCAUCCUGGCUAACAUGGUGAAACCCCGUCUCUACUAAAAAAUACAAAAAAUUAGCUGGGUGUGGUGGCGGGCACCUGUAGUCCCAGCUACUCGGGAGGCUGAGGCAGGAGAAUGGUGUGAACCUGGGAGGUGGAGCUUGCAGCAGUGAGCAGCUGAGAUCGCGCCACUGCACUCCAGCCUGGGCAACAGAGUGAGACUCCGUCUCAAAAAAAAAAAAAAAAAGAAAGCUCAACAUUACUAAUCAUUAGAGAAAUACAAAUCAAAACCAUAAUGAGAUACCAUCUUAUGCCUGUCAGAACGGUUAUCAUUAAAAAGUCAAGAAACAACAGAUGCUGGCAAGGUUGUGGAGAAAAAGGAACACUUUUACACUGUUGGUGGGAGUGUAAAUGAGUUCAACCAUUGUGGAAGACAGUGUGGUGAUUCCUCAAAGACCUAGAGGCAGAAAUAUCACUUCACUCAGCAAUCUCAUUACUGCGUAUAUAUACCCAGAGGAAUAGAUCAUUCUGUUAUAAAGAUACAUGUGUGCAUAUGUUCAUUGCAGCUUUAUUCAUAAUAGCAAAGACUUGUAAUCAACCUAAAUGUCCAUCAAUGAUAGACUAGAUAAAGAAAAUGUGGUUACAUAUGUACCAUGGAAUACUGUGCAGCCAUAAAAAGGAAUGAGAUCAUGUUCUUUGCAGGGACGUGGAUGGAGCUGGAAGCCAUUAUCCUCAGCAAACUAAUGCAGGAACAGAAAACCAAAUACCACAUGUUCUCACUUAUAAGUGGGAACUGAAUGUUGAGAACACAUGAACACAUAGUGGGGAACAACACACACUGGGGCCUGUCGGAGGGUGUGGGUGGGAGGAGGGAGAGGGUCAGGAAGAAUAGCUAAUGGAUGCUGCACUUAAUACCUAGGUGAUGGGACUAUCUGUACAGCAAACCACCAUGGCACACAUUUACCUAUGUAACAAACCUGCAUAUCCUGCACAGGUACCCCUGAACUUAAAAUAAAAGUUGGAAAAAAAGAUAUUUAAAAGGAAUGUUUUUAAUAUUAA
rnacentral:lncRNA from 1 species